AGAGAGAGACAUGCGCGCAUAUCAAUAAGCGGAGGAAAAGAAACUAACAAGGAUUCCCUUAGUAACGGCGAGUGAAGCGGGAAGAGCUCAAAUUUGAAAUCUUCAAGGUUUUACCUUGACGAAUUGUAGUUUAAAGAAGUGUUUUCUGCUGAAGUUUUGGUAAAAGUUCUUUGGAAUAGGACAUCAUAGAGGGUGAGAAUCCCGUAUUUGACCAUUAUUUUCAGCUUUGUGAUACACCUUUCAAAGAGUCGGAUUGUUUGGGAAUGCAGUCCAAAAUGGGUGGUAAAUUUCAUCUAAAGCUAAAUAUUGGCGAGAGACCGAUAGCGAACAAGUACCGUGAGGGAAAGAUGAAAAGAACUUUGAAAAGAGAGUUAAACAGUACGUGAAAUUGUCAAAAGGGGAGCGUUUGACACCAGUGUUGUUUUCUCGAAAAUCAAUUAAAAAUAGCUCGAUUUUGUAUUGCUUGAGACCUUAAAAGCUCACUGUACAUUUUUCGUGUCUUUUUUAAUGCACUUUUCGUUUAACAAGUCAACAUCAGUUUCUUUUGUUGUAAAAGGGUCAUUGGAAGGUGGCUUUCUUUUCGGAGAAAGUGUUUAUAGCCUUUGGCCUCUGCAAUCGGAAGAGACUGAGGUCUGCAGCGUAGACAUCUUCGGGGUUAGAUACAUUUGUGCUAAGUUAUAGCUUUUUAUAGACAACUUGUUGACUAUAAUUAGUCUUGUAGCUUACUCGCUUAUGCUAUUUUACCUACGCUUAGGAUGUUGAGUCGUAGAGCACGCAG
rnacentral:rRNA from 1 species